GACGAACGCUGGCGGCGUGCCUAAUACAUGCAAGUCGAGCGCGCGGAACUAACACAUUUACUUCGGUAAUGACGUGCGGAAAGCGAGCGGCGGAUUGGGGAGUAACACGUGGGGAACCUGCCCCAUAGUCUGGGAUACCACUAGGAAACAAGAGCUAAUACCGGCUAAGAUAGCAGAUCUCAUGAUCGCCUUUUAAUAACCGGCGUAUGAUGUCGCUAUGUGAUGGCUCGGGGGUGCAUUAGCGAGUUGGUAAGGUAAAGGCUUACCAAGGCGAUGAUGCAUAGCCGACUCGAGAGACUGAUCGGCCACAUGGGGCCUGAGAAACGCCCCAAACUCCUACGGGAGGCAGAAUUAGGGAAUCUUCGACAAUGGACGCAAUUCUGAUGGAGCAACGCGGCGUGAGUGAAGAAGGUUUUCGGAUCGUAAAGUUCGGUUGUUGGUGAAGAAGGUGAGAGGUAGUAACUGGCCUUUAUUUGACGGUAACUAACCAGAAAGACACGGCUAACUACGUG
rnacentral:rRNA from 1 species